CAAACAAUCACGCUCUGCCAACCCUCUCAUAAUUAAUCACACACAGUCAGUACACACAUCCCACAUAAUUACACACAGCCAGUAUACACAGGCUUAUUGUUUAGAAGGGAGCAAUAAGGGGUGACGAGAUCGACCCAUCUUUGACUCUUGUAGCAGUGUCCUGUGGUUCCUGCUUACGCCCCUGGGAGCCAGGGGACAAUUGAUGGCAAGUACGUUCAGAGUUGC